AAACAAUCUUUCCAGCCAAGCUUCCUUGGGCCAGUUGAAGUGAAACCAAGGAUUGUCCACUUAUCUCAGUAAUUAAGGCACAAAGAGACCCAUGCUGUUUGGGUCUGACUUUUCCAAAUCUGAGGGAUGAUGGUUUUAGCAAAUUCAGUGUGGACCAGAUCUUUGAUUCACUGUGGUCAUUCAGUCGUUUCUGAGUCAUUGCUGGACAGCAGAAGCAGACAGCUGAAUCACAGCUCAGAAAACCGUAAUGAGCUGAGCAGCAUUACAGCUUGUUUCGCUUAAUAUUUAUUCUUAAAACAUGACUUCAUUUGUGAUGGCUAUACUUGGAGAUCCAGAUACAAGUCCAGCGUGUUUGCUGUAACAAGUUAAUGCGAUGAAAUAUGGAAAAACCUAUUUGCCUCUGUCUUCAAAAUUUGCACAAAGCUCCUUUCUGGUGAGGAUUGCGUUGCACUGAUCUCUACACAUUUUCCUGGCAUGCAGUGCUGUUUGGCCCUUUAUGGGAUGGGCACAAAGACCCUGUGUCUACCUUCCCAGUGGGCUGCAUAAGAGACCGGGCACAGUGGAGACACAUACAAAGGAAACUUGAAAUUAAACCUAAAGACCUUAUUAGACUCAAAUCACAUAUUUUUGGCAAGAAAAUUGUAUUGUUCAUGCUAUCAAUUGCCUUUUGUGUUAUAUGAGAAGGACCAACUCAGGGAAGAAGUUCAUUGGUACAAACCCCACACCAUGGGACCCCUGGAGGACUAUACCUUAGAAGCAGGGAUGAAAGAGAGUUCUGGGACUCAGACUGGCUCUUCUUGCUCCUCUGCUUGCAGACAGCCUGUUGUGGAACCUUGUGAUCAGGUUGGGCUGGAAAAUCCAUUUCUCACGGUUCCAAAGGCUGGGAAGCCAGGGUCAAGGUCCUGCAGAUCCAGUGUCUGGCGAAGCCCUUCUUCCGGGUUUGGAAAUGGCUGCCUUCUCCUUCUAUCCUCACACGGCAGAGAGAGAAAGAGACUGUGAGAAACAGAGGAAGUACUCCAGGGAGUUCUGCAAUGUCUUCUAAAAGGAUGCUAAUCACAUCAUGGGGGCUCCAUCUUUGUGACCUAAUCACUUCCCAAAGGCCCCACAUCCUAAUACCGUCACAUGGGAAGUGAGGGUUUCAACAUGUGAAUUUGUGAGGGGACACAAACAUUCAGUCCAUGGCACUAACAUACCCAACACCAGAAUCUGAGUGGAGAGUUUCAUCUGGGUGAUAUCCCUUCAGUUUGUGUAAAGCCCUGAACUCCACCUCGUCUUUCUCAGCUGCUUUUCCUGUUUUCUCUGCCAUGGUGAUGCUGCUGCCUUCCACUCAAGUUAUGAGAAGACAGGGUCCCACAGUUUACCAUCUGCUUCUGUCACCCGUCUUGAGUUGGUCACAAAUUCCUACUGAUGAUACCACACAAAGGACUCCUGGGCAUGUCGUCUCCUCUCUUGAAAACAUAGGGUCUUAGUCCAGGUCUUCAUUUAUGCAUUCGUCCAACAUUUCCUGUUUUACUUUCUUUCAUGGUGUUCUCCAUGGUGGUGAUUAAAUAAGCUUCCUAAAAUACAGAAAAAAUAAUGUCAUUAUUUGCUUAAAAACUCCCCAUUUCUUCUCCAUUGCUCAUUUUUUAAAUAACACAUUUUUGUUAUUGUGGCAGGAUACGCAUAACAAAAUGACCAUUCUGAGUGCACAGUUCUGGGGUACUGAGUCCAUUCACAUGGUUGUGCAACCAUCACCACCACUCAUCUCUAGAAUGCUUUCCAUCCUUCAAAACCGAAACUUCGUACUCAUUAAACAAUUCCCCACUUCUCUCUCCCCUCAGAACCUGGCAACCACCAUUUAACUUUUUGUCUCUGUGAGUUUGACUAUUCUGGAUAUCUCAUAUAAGUGGAGUCACACGUUGUCUUUUUGUGACUGGUUUAUUUCACUUGGUUUAAUGUCUUAAGGUUCAUCCCUGUUGUGGCACAUUGCUGUGAUUUGAAUGGGUCACCUUGAAAAUCCAGGUGUUAUCAAUGUGGUACUAUUAAGAGGUGGGGGUUUUAGGUGGUGAUUAGAUCAAGAGAGCUCUUCCAUCAUGAGUGAGAUUAGGUGCCCUUAUAAAAGGACUUCAUGAAGGAGUUUGUCCCCCUUUUGCCCUUCUUCCUUUUGCCAUGUAAGAACACAGUGCUCCUCCCUUCUGGAGGCUGCAGCAAUAAGGCCUCCUCUUGGAAGUAGAGAGCCACCCUGAACCAGAUGCUGAAUCUGCUGGCAUCUUGAUCUUGGACUUAUAGCUCCCAGAACUAUAAGAAAUAAAUUUCUGUUCAUUAAUAAUUACCAGUUUUUGGUAUUUUGUCAUAGCAGCGCAAGCAGACCAAGACACAUAUAUAAGGAUUUCUUCCUUUUGAUGGGUGAAUAAUAUUCCAUUGUAUGUGUAGAGUACAUUUCAAUUAUUCUAUCAUCCAUAGGUGGACCUGAGAGGUUGCUUCCAUAUUUUGACUAUUGCAAAUAAUGCUGCUAUGAACAUGAGUAUACAGAUAUUUGGGUCCGUGCUUUCAUUCCUCUUGGGUAUAUACCUAGAAGUAGAAUUUCUGGAUUGUAUGGUAAUUCUAUAUUUAAUAUUUUCAAGAACUGCCACGCUGUUUUCCGCAGCUGCUGCACCAGUUUACCUUCCCACCAACAGUGCUCAAGGGUUUCAAUUUCUCUACAUUCUUGCUAACACUUGUUAUUUUCUGUUACUUAUUUAGUUUUUUAUUUUUGAUAAUAGUCUAAUGAGUGUGAGGUUGUAUCUCAUCGUGGUUUGAUUUCCAUUUUCCAUUAUAACUAGUGAUGUUGAAGAUCUUUUCGGGUAGUUACUGGUCAUUUGUAUAUCUGUCUUGGAGAAAUAUCUAUUCAAGUCCUUUGCCCAUUUUUCG
rnacentral:lncRNA from 10 species